GGAUGUGAGGGCGAUCUGGAUGCGACAUCUGUCACCUCAUUGAUCGCCAAUUAAUUCGGCUGAUCUGGCUGGCUAGGCGGGUGUCACCUUCCUCCCUCACCGCUCCCACGUGCAUCCCUCCCAAAGCUGCACACUCGGUGGAAGAGGACGACCAUCCCAGAUAGAGGAGGACCGUUCUUUGGUCAAGGGUAUAUGAGUAGCUGCACUCCGCUGCUAGAACCUCCAAACAAGCUCUCAAGAAUGAAUGGUGUGAAGUAGGCAAGUUUGUUGAUAGAAAUACACUAGACUGAUCAAUUCAGAAAACAAUUUUAGUUUUAGU
rnacentral:snRNA from 1 species